rnacentral:rRNA from 1 species
ACGGAGCAAGAACUAACAAGGAUUCCCCUAGUAACUGCGAGUGAAGCGGGAAGAGCUCAAAUUUAAAAUCUGGCAGUCUCUGGCUGUCCGAGUUGUAAUUUAGAGAAGUGUUGCCCGCGCUGGACCGUAUACAAGUCCUCUGGAAUGAGGCGUCAUAGAGGGUGAGAAUCCCGUCUUUGAUACGGACUACCAGUGCUUUGUGGUGCGCUCUCGAAGAGUCGAGUUGUUUGGGAAUGCAGCUCAAAAUGGGUGGUAAAUUCCAUCUAAAGCUAAAUAUAGGCGAGAGACCGAUAGCGAACAAGUACCGUGAGGGAAAGAUGAAAAGAACUUUGGAAAGAGAGUUAAACAGUACGUGAAAUUGCUGAAAGGGAAACGCUUGAAGUCAGUCGCGUCGUUCAAGAAUCAACCUUGCUUUUGCUUGGUGUACUUUUUGUUCGACGGGUCAGCAUCAGUUUUGACCAUUGGAUAAGGGCCAAGGAAAUGUGGCAUCUUCGGAUGUGUUAUAGUCUUUGGUCGUAUACAGUGGUUGGGACUGAGGAACUCAGCACGCCGCAAGGACGGGUCUUUGACUACGUUACGUGCUUAGGAUGCUGGCAUAAUGGCUUUAAUCGACCCGUCUUGAAACACGGACCAAGGAGUCUAACAUGCCUGCGAGUGUUUGGGUGGAAAACCCGAGCGCGCAAUGAAAGUGAAAGUUGAGAUCUCUGUCAUGGAGAGCAUCGACGCCCAUACCUGAUGUUUACUGACGGAUAUGCGGUAGAGCAUGUAUGUUGGGACCCGAAAGAUGGUGAACUAUGCCUGAAUAGGGUGAAGCCAGAGGAAACUCUGGUGGAGGCUCGUAGCGAUUCUGACGUGCAAAUCGAUCGUCGAAUUUGGGGUAUAGGGGGCGAAAG